rnacentral:rRNA from 1 species
GCUCAGCAGGCGAGAAUUUUUCACAAUGGGGGAAACCCUGAUGGAGCGACGCCGCGUGGAGGAUGAAGGCGUUUUCGUCGUAAACUCCUGUCAUGCGAGAACAAGAAAGUGAUAGUAUCGCAAGAGGAAGAGGCGGCUAACUCUGUGCCAGCAGCCGCGGUAAUACAGAGGCCUCAAGCGUUGUUCGGAUUCAUUGGGCGUAAAGGGUGCGUAGGUGGCAUGGUAAGUUGAAGGUGAAAUCUCGGAGCUCAACUCCGAAACUGCCUUCAAUGCUGCUGUGCUCGAGGACUGUAGAGGAGAAUGGAAUUCACGGUGUAGCAGUGAAAUGCGUAGAUAUCGUGAGGAAGACCAGUGGCGAAGGCGAUUCUCUGGGCAGUUCCUGACACUGAGGCACGAAGGCUAGGGGAGCAAACGGGAUUAGAUACCCCGGUAGU